rnacentral:tRNA from 1 species
GGCGGGUGGCUGGCGGGGGCCGGGGCCCAGUGUGCCCCACCGGGGGCGGCCGCGCCCCAGGUACGGCCCGCUCGGUACGGCCGCCCGGGC